UAUCAUCAUGGCAUUCUAUCUCACUGUUAUCACAGUAUCCGUUUCUUUACAAUAAGCCAAUGUACAAUUGUUUUAUGACACAUGCGAUCAUCUUUCAUUUUAAUGAGAUUCUCCGAUUAGCAACAUACAUAAGCAGGUGGAUCAAGGUGCGAUCGCUCGCGGUGUGAUAUUAGAAUUUGGCAAUUUUUUUAAUUACUUUGGUGGGUAGACGAGCUCACGGCCCUCCUGAUGCUAAGCGGUUACCGGAGCUCAUAGACAUCUACAACGUAAAGAACAAUGGCAGCUUUCUAUACAACAUUUUACCUGAUAUCUAUUUGAGGCGUCUUGAAACAAAAAAAUACUAAAACGAUAGGAAUAACAUAGCUUAAGCUUAAUCAGAAAUAUUUUUGGUAUUAGAAAGUCACAAAAAAAAGAUAUCAACGUGUUUACUUUAUAAUUUGAGGUUAUCUAUCAAUAAAUAGAUGUCUCUGAUUUUUGUAGGCACGGACUUUAACAAAUUGAAAAAAUAGGUAAACGAUAUGUUUAUUUAACAUUUUUAGUUUCAUUAUCAUAGACGAACCAAGGAUACACCUCUAAUAGUAGUAGGCACCCUUAGCAAUUGCAGAGCUACCUAGGUACAUAUAGAUAUUAUAUAGUUUGUUCUUUCUUCUUUGUAAAUGUGUGUCAGAGAUAGGUACUUUUAACAUUUUGAACGAAUUAGUCACAUAUUUGCGACAAACGAAGGCUUGCAAAGCUAAUUUACUAUAGUAGAAUUAUUUUGUCCGUGCAGUUUGGGUUAUAAAAAAUCGGAGCGGUGAAGCGAGUAUUUCGCUCUCUCUUCCACUCACUAGCCUUAUGGACGGGCAUAGUCAUGCGCAUUAUGUCAGUGUCAUACUGUUAAAAUCAUUGUCAUCUGCAGUGCUGCCAUUACUAUUUAUUACAUAUUUAGUUAUUUAAUUAAGUACUAAUUGUAACAAAGGAUAAUUAAUAUUAUUAUUUUCAUUUUAAAUACUUUAUGAAUAGUAUUCAUUAUCAAAAAAUAUUGCUUUUUUGUGCCAAUAGUAUAAAUGCCAUCCUUUACGAAUGUAUUAAACCGGAAGUACACAAAAAUGGAAUUAAAAGCUUAUUAAAUUAACAUUUUUUCGUGGCUUUGCCUCGUAAAUCUAACAUCGUAUAAAAAACGAGCAAAUAAAAUGAUGAAGUUUCGUUUAUGUCUUAAUCUAAGACGCCUUUUAAAACAUUCAGAAUUUCCUAAUGUUGGAAUUUCACUGAAAAUCUGACAUAUCACGACGUAAGAACUUCAGGUAAAUGAAACCAUGUAAGCAUCAAGAGCUGAACAGAAUGUAAUUUCUGCCUUUUGGUCUUCAGUAUAUGAAAUAGUAACUUCAAACUGGAAAUUAGUUUCAAGCAAUGCAAAAUUUAAACAUAAUGUAACAUCAGUACAGAAUACAUAAAUAGUUUUAACUUAGUUUAUAUAUAUUGUUUUAUAAAUCAACUCAAAUUUGUUCCUUUAUGAUUAAUUUGUAGCAAAACGUUUGUUUUCUAUUUAGUACUCAAUAAUUAUUUGCCUUUGUAAUAAUAACUUUCAAUUCGUAAUUAUCAGAAGGAAAUUUACCAAGUGUGCAAACAUGA